rnacentral:snRNA from 1 species
AGCUUUGCACAUUGGCAGUAUCACAGCCAAUGAAGUUUAUCUGAGGUGCGAUUAUUGCCAAUCGAAAGCUUCUCCCAGUACCCUGCCAUGACGACUUGCAGUAUAGUUGACAUUGGCAAUCUUUUACGGUCUCUAUGGAGA